rnacentral:rRNA from 1 species
CGUUCCCGGGUCUUGUACACACCGCCCGUCACACCACGAAAGUCGGCAACACCCGAGGCCGGUGGCCUAACCCGCAAGGGAGGGAGCCGUCGAAGGUGGGGCUGGCGAUUGGGGUG